GUUGUUGUGGUCUAGUGGUUAUCACGUUAGUCUUCCACAUUAAAAGACCCAGUUCAAUCUUGGGCACUGAUG
rnacentral:tRNA from 1 species